rnacentral:rRNA from 1 species
AAGGAUCAUUACCGAGUGCGGGCCCCUCGGGGCCCAACCUCCCACCCGUGUUGCCCGAACCUAUGUUGCCUCGGCGGGCCCCGCGCCCGCCGACGGCCCCCCUGAACGCUGUCUGAAGUUGCAGUCUGAGACCUAUAACGAAAUUAGUUAAAACUUUCAACAACGGAUCUCUUGGUUCCGGCAUCGAUGAAGAACGCAGCGAAAUGCGAUAACUAAUGUGAAUUGCAGAAUUCAGUGAAUCAUCGAGUCUUUGAACGCACAUUGCGCCCUCUGGUAUUCCGGAGGGCAUGCCUGUCCGAGCGUCAUUGCUGCCCUCAAGCCCGGCUUGUGUGUUGGGCCCCGUCCCCCCCGCCGGGGGGACGGGCCCGAAAGGCAGCGGCGGCACCGCGUCCGGUCCUCGAGCGUAUGGGGCUUCGUCACCCGCUCUAGUAGGCCCGGCCGGCGCCAGCCGACCCCCAACCUUUAAUUAUCUCAGGUUGACCUCGGAUCAGGUAGGGAUACCCGCUGAACUUAA